GCACUGCUGAGGAGUCUUACAAUAGGGCGAAACGUUCGUCUAGUGC
rnacentral:hammerhead_ribozyme from 1 species